rnacentral:siRNA from 1 species
UCGCGUCUGCCUGGGUGUCACGC